UUUUAUUUGAGAGUUUGAUCCUGGCUCAGGAUGAACGCUGGCGGCGUGCCUAACACAUGCAAGUUGAGCGAUUUACUUCGGUAAAGAGCGGCGGACGGGUGAGUAACGCGUGGGUAACCUACCCUGUACACACGGAUAACAUACCGAAAGGUAUGCUAAUACGGGAUAAUAUAUUUGAGAGGCAUCUCUUGAAUAUCAAAGGUGAGCCAGUACAGGAUGGACCCGCGUCUGAUUAGCUAGUUGGUAAGGUAACGGCUUACCAAGGCGACGAUCA
rnacentral:rRNA from 1 species